rnacentral:rRNA from 1 species
AGUGAACGCUGGCGGUAGGCCUAACACAUGCAAGUCGAACGGCAGCACAGUAAGAGCUUGCUCUUACGGGUGGCGAGUGGCGGACGGGUGAGGAAUACAUCGGAAUCUACUUUUUCGUGGGGGAUAACGUAGGGAAACUUACGCUAAUACCGCAUACGACCUGCGGGUGAAAGCAGGGGAUCUUCGGACCUUGCGCGAUUGAAUGAGCCGAUGUCGGAUUAGCUAGUUGGCGGGGUAAAGGCCCACCAAGGCGACGAUCCGUAGCUGGUCUGAGAGGAUGAUAAGCCACACUGGAACUGAGACACGGUCCAGACUACUACGGGAGGCAGCAGUGGGGAAUAUUGGACAAUGGGCGCAAGCCUGAUACAGCCAUACCGAGUGGGUGAAGAAGGCCUUCGGGUUGUAAAGCCCUUUUGUUGGGAAAGAAAAGCAGCAGGUUAAUACCCCGCUGUUCUGACGGUAACCAAAGAAUAAGCACCGGCUAACUUCGUG